rnacentral:rRNA from 1 species
UACGAAGGGGACUAGCGUUGUUCGGAAUUACUGGGCGUAAAGCGCACGUAGGCGGAUUUGUAAGUCAGGGGUGAAAUCCCGGGGCUCAACCUCGGAACUGCCUUUGAUACUGCAAGUCUCGAGUCCGAUAGAGGUGGGUGGAAUUCCUAGUGUAGAGGUGAAAUUCGUAGAUAUCAGGAGGAACACCGGUGGCGAAGGCGGUUCUCUGGGCUGCACCUGACGCUGAAGUGCGAAAGCCAGGGGAGCGAACGGG